UGAGCGAGCGCGCGUGCGAGGGAGAGGGAGAGGGCGCUUCAGCACCACGGAGAGCGGCGCCGGGCCGGGCGUCGAGGCGGCGGGCGGGCGGCGUCGGGGCGCGGGGCUCUGUUCCCCGGGGCGCCUGCCUCCUCCGGGCGCGGGGCCAUGCGGCUGCUGGUGCUGGCGGCGCUGCUGUCGUCGUCGUUCGCGCGGGCGGGCUGCGAGCCCAAGAUCGUGAACCUGGGCGCGGUGCUGAGCACCAAGCGGCACGAGGCCGUCUUCCGCGAGGCCGUCCUGCAGGCCAACAAGCGGCACGGCGCCUGGAAGAUCCAGCUCAACGCCACCUCCGUCACCCACAAGCCCAACGCCAUCCAGAUGGCCCUCUCCGUCUGCGAGGACCUCAUCUCCAGCCAGGUUUACGCCAUCCUCGUGAGCCACCCGCCGGCUCCCAACGACCACCUCACGCCGACCCCGGUCUCCUACACGGCGGGCUUCUACCGGAUCCCGGUCAUUGGGCUGACGACGCGCAUGUCCAUCUACUCAGACAAGAGCAUCCACCUGUCCUUCCUGCGCACGGUGCCGCCAUACUCCCACCAGUCCAACGUCUGGUUUGAGAUGAUGCGCUACUACAAGUGGAACCACAUCAUCCUCAUUGUGAGCGACGACCACGAGGGGCGGGCCGCCCAGAAGAAACUGGAGACCCUCUUGGAAGAGAAAGAGUCAAAGAGUAAAAAAAGGAACUAUGACAGCCUCGAACAACUAUCCUAUGACAACAAGCGAGGACCCAAGGCCGAGAAGGUGCUGCAGUUCGAACCCGGGACCAAAAAUGUCACCUCGCUGCUCUUGGAGGCCAAGGAACUGGAGGCCCGGGUCAUCAUCCUCUCCGCCAGUGAGGAUGAUGCCACCACGGUCUACACGGCGGCAGCCAAAGAGAACAUGACUGGUCCUGGCUACGUCUGGCUGGUGGGAGAAAGGGAGAUCUCGGGCAACGCCCUGCGCAGCGCCCCAGAAGGACUGAUUGGCUUGCAACUCAUGAACGGGAAGAAUGAGUCGGCUCACAUUAGGGACGCGGUGGCUGUGGUGGCCCAAGCCGUGCACGACCUGUUUGAGAAAGAGAACAUCACAGACCCGCCCAGGGGCUGCGUGGGCAACACCAACAUCUGGAAGACGGGCCCUCUCUUCAAAAGGGUGCUGAUGCAGACCAAGUACGCCGAUGGCAUCACCGGCAGAGUGGAGUUCAAUGAGGAUGGCGACAGGAAAUACGCCAACUACAGUGUCAUGAACCUACAGAACAAUAAAUUGGUUCAAGUUGGAGUCUACAACGGUAGCCACUUCCUGCCCAACGACCGCAAGAUCAUCUGGCCUGGAGGGGAGACGGAGACGCCACAGGGCUACGAAAUGUCUACAAAGCUAAAGAUUGUCACAAUCCACCAAGAACCGUUUGUUUAUGUGAAGCAAACCCAGCAGGAUGGGAAGUGCGAGGCCCGGCACAACAGCACUGGGGGCUUGGUGCAGCAGGUUCUCUGCACCGGCCCCAAUGAGACCAUGCCAGGCGAUGCAGGGCGGCCCAGCGUAAUGUUGUGCUGCUACGGAUUCUGCAUUGACCUGCUCAUCAAGCUCGCUAAGACAAUGAAUUUCACCUACGAAGUUCACCUGGUGGCCGAUGGCAAAUUUGGCACCCAAGAGCGGGUGAACAACAGCAACAAGAAGGAGUGGAAUGGGAUGAUGGGGGAGCUGCUGAGUGGCCAGGCCGACAUGAUUGUGGCCCCGCUGACCAUCAACAAUGAGCGGGCGCAGUACAUUGAGUUCUCCAAGCCUUUCAAGUACCAGGGGCUCACCAUCCUCGUCAAAAAGGAAAUUCCCCGCAGCACACUGGACUCAUUCAUGCAGCCGUUCCAGAGCACGCUCUGGCUCCUGGUGGGGCUCUCGGUGCACGUGGUGGCGGUGAUGUUAUACCUCCUGGACCGCUUCAGUCCAUUUGGCCGGUUUAAAGUGAACAGCGAAGAAGAGGAGGAGGAUGCCCUGACUCUCUCUUCUGCCAUGUGGUUUUCCUGGGGAGUCCUCCUGAACUCUGGAAUUGGAGAAGGCGCCCCUCGGAGUUUCUCUGCUCGGAUCCUCGGGAUGGUCUGGGCCGGCUUUGCCAUGAUCAUCGUUGCCUCCUACACUGCCAACCUGGCUGCCUUCCUGGUGUUGGACAGACCGGAGGAGCGCAUCACUGGCAUCAACGACCCCAGGUUGCGGAACCCUUCCGACAAGUUCAUCUACGCCACCGUGAAGCAGAGUUCUGUGGACAUUUACUUCCGGCGGCAAGUGGAGCUGAGCACGAUGUACCGGCACAUGGAGAAGCACAACUACGAGAGCGCUGCUGAAGCCAUCCAGGCCGUCCGGGACAACAAGCUCCACGCUUUCAUCUGGGACUCGGCUGUGCUGGAGUUCGAAGCUUCGCAGAAGUGUGACCUGGUGACGACGGGAGAGCUCUUUUUCCGCUCCGGCUUCGGCAUCGGGAUGCGCAAGGACAGCCCCUGGAAGCAGAACGUCUCUCUGGCCAUCCUCAACCUCCACGAGAACGGCUUCAUGGAAGAGCUGGACAAGACCUGGGUUAGGUACCAGGAGUGCGACUCCCGCAGCAACGCCCCAGCGACCCUCACCUUUGAGAACAUGGCAGGUGUAUUCAUGCUGGUGGCUGGAGGUAUUGUGGCCGGGAUAUUUUUAAUAUUCAUAGAAAUAGCAUACAAAAGGCAUAAAGACGCCCGGAGGAAGCAGAUGCAACUGGCGUUUGCGGCGGUUAAUGUGUGGCGGAAAAACCUGCAGUCCUCUCUCUCUCUUGUGGCCGUAGGAUUCAGCUUCAGAAAAGGCCCCGAGCAUUUUUAUUUAGUGGAUAGAAAAAGUGGUAGAGCAGAACCAGACCCUAAAAAGAAAGCCACUUUUAGGUCCAUCACCUCUACCCUGGCCUCCAGCUUCAAGAGACGUAGGUCAUCCAAAGAUACGACUGCCCCGCGAUGCCACCACCACGCCCAGAAUCCGUGAGCUGCAGAUAAGCCCUGUAGAGAAAUCCCGGCUUCAGGAGCUGCUCGGCACAGGCAGUAUCACCCCACAGACAUCGCCGGGCAGCUCAACCUCUCCGACCCCUCGGUCAGCACCGUGGUGUGACGCCCGAGACCCCAAGGGGACAGACCAAUGGAGACUCUGACGGGGCCUGUCCGGAGGCACCCAAGCCCAGGCUCGGCCAGCCAUCCGCAGCGUCUGCAUUGCUUCCUCCCCUCCUGGCCUUUUUUGGUCUCUGGGCCCUUUGGAUGAACCACACAAACACCAGGCCCACUUGGAGCAGCCAGCCCUCCCUGACCCCCUUCUUUUUCCAGGCCUUUCUGAUGCCAACAGAGACAGGGAUUGUGGCUCCCAACAGCCGCAAAGGGGAGGCCGGGUGUUCUCCGAAGCGGAUGGGGCUCUUCAUCCUCUUCAUCCGACACGCAUGCGCAGGACUUCUUCCACCCCACGGCCACCACGUCCCAUCUCUUCACGUCACGCCAGAGGAAGACGGAGGGGCUUCUCGUGGGCCGUCUUGUACAUAGCCCUUCAGGCUCAUCUCAUCUGGAGUGACGUGAUGCAUGUUCUCCGGCUCUUCCUGGGGAGAUCCCGCCCAAAAGAAACUCUUCUUCUUUCACCGCUGUUCCUUUCCUGCUGCCCACUUUUUGGACCAUUCAUCAAAGGGAACUUUGGGGUCUCGAUAAAGGCGGGUUUCAGCAAAAGGAUGGCAAAUGGGGAACUUUCCAGACCUUUCCUUGCCCUGCGCUAGCACCUCCUAGCUCCCCACUCUGAACGGUUUCAACUGUCCUCAGUUACGGCUCCAGGUAAGGGAUCCAGGUGGGUUGCAGAAGUACCCUAUUGCUUCCACCUCAGACUUAGAAAAGCCUACAGCACACAACUCAAGGCAGGCCAGCAAAACGUGGUUUCAAGCCCAUCCUGAGAGGUCUCCGGCUCCAAGAUCAUGAGCCAUCAGGCCACCCUCUCCUCUGUCUAGCCCAUGGUGGCCAGCUCUGGUUGGAAGCCUCUCCAAGGCCUGCCUUGGCCAUCCUUGCAAAGAGCGAGGCCGCUGUGCUCAGCCUUCCCAGUGAUUGUGGCAGGAGGUGGGCAUGAAUGCCAGCCAAUGCCAUAAGGUUUCAUUCCAGGUUUGCCAAUGAUCCAUCAUCCAUCCCUAAAGGCCAGGUUUUGUGUUGCUGACCUUUCAGCUGAGAAUAGGUGAGGUGUGCCACCCAUUCUGGACCCACAUUUUCAUUUUGGUGAAACAGCAAAGGGCACCUAGCUUUAACCAAGCCCCUGUGAUCCUACAAUCCAACCAGGCAGCCCCACAUUGCAAGCAAGCUCAGUGCAUCAUCCACAGCAGCACACAACCAAACCUCUUGCUUUUCCAAGUGUUGCUUCCUCCUCCUCUUCCUCUGGCAAUGUGUCCCAGACCAACGUUAGUCUGGAGCACAUGUGCCAGAGUGCCGGCCAUGCAUCAAGAGGCAUUCACACAGACACAACUGGCCACUCUUCUCCUCUGUGAUGAGAACAAUAGCUCAGCCUCGGAGCACGUCCCGUGCAUCAUCAUGCGCGGGGCUUGCUCCCAGGUAGAGGCACAUCUCCCCAGCGAAAGCAACCUGGAACGUGCAGCCAAGGUUGCCCUGGACUCUCCUGUAAAUAGAUGUUGGGUAGAUCGGGGUGGCAUCUCAACGGGGCAUCCGCAUCUGAUCAUGAUCAGUAAUCAACAUAUUUAUUUACAAUUGUACUGUGAAUUUUUGUAACAGCUGACGGGUAUUCUUCAAUGAACUUCGUAUGCCAACAAGA